GAUGAACGCUAGCUACAGGCUUAACACAUGCAAGUCGAGGGGAAACGACAUCGAAAGCUUGCUUUUGAUGGGCGUCGACCGGCGCACGGGUGAGUAACGCGUAUCCAACCUGCCCACCACUUGGGGAUAACCUUGCGAAAGUAAGACUAAUACCCAAUGAUAUCUCUAGAAGACAUCUGAAAGAGAUUAAAGAUUUAUCGGUGAUGGAUGGAGAUGCGUCUGAUUAGCUUGUUGGCGGGGUAACGGCCCACCAAGGCAACGAUCAGUAGGGGUUCUGAGAGGAAGGUCCCCCACAUUGGAACUGAGACACGGUCCAAACUCCUACGGGAGGCAGCAGUGAGGAAUAUUGGUCAAUGGACGAGAGUCUGAACCAGCCAAGUAGCGUGCAGGAAGACGGCCCUAUGGGUUGUAAACUGCUUUUAUAAGGGAAUAAAGUGAGUCUCGUGAGACUUUUUGCAUGUACCUUAUGAAUAAGGACCGGCUAAUUCCGUG
rnacentral:rRNA from 1 species